GGCGGCGUGCCUAACACAUGCAAGUCGCACGAGAAAGUGGAGCAAUCCAUGAGUAAAGUGGCGCACGGGUGAGUAACACGUGAAUGAUCUACCUCCGAGUGGGGAAUAACCUAGAGAAAUCUGGGCUAAUACCGCAUAACACUUACGAGUCAAAGCAGCAAUGCGCUUGGAGAGGAGUUCGCGGCCGAUUAGUUAGUUGGCGGGGUAAUGGCCCACCAAGACGAUGAUCGGUAUCCGGCCUGAGAGGGCGCACGGACACACUGGAACUGAAGCACGGUCCAGACUCCUACGGGAGGCAGCAGUGUGGAAUUUUGCGCAAUGGGGGAAACCCUGACGCAGCAACGCCGCGUGGAGGAUGAAAUCCCUUGGGAUGUAAACUCCUUUCGAUCGGGACGAUUAUGACGGUACCGGAAGAAGAAGCCCCGGCUAACUUCGUGCCAGCAGCCGCGGUAAUACGAGGGGGGCAAGCGUUGUUCGGAAUUAUUGGGCGUAAAGGGCGCGUAGGCGGUUUGACAAGUCUGAUGUGAAAUCUCUGGGCUCA
rnacentral:rRNA from 1 species